GGGUGACGCAAUGAGCAGCGAAUGCUUCCCUUCUUGCGGGUAGGCAUAUGUCAGCGCGCGCGUCACCCGCCACGAGUUCCGGGGGCGCCUUGGAUACGGCGGCCGAGACUGCCGCGGCUACCGACGGCUAUAAAUCGCCUCAGGGUCCCGGCACCGGCCAUGGUGGCGAGGAUGGCGACGGACGGCGGAGCUGAGAACCCAGCCCGUGAUCCGGCUUCCAACCCCAAGGUGGUCAUGAUUCGAGGACUCGUGAACGACGAUGCAACAGAUGGUUGGGAAAAAUGCUGGGAGGAAGGACUGACCCCAUGGGAUUUGGGACAGGCAACACCUGCAGUUUUGCAACUUGUUAGAACUGGGUCUCUUCCAAGAGGCAGGGUUCUUGUUCCUGGAUGUGGCAGUGGGUAUGAUGUGGUUGCUAUUGCUGGCCCUGAGCGCUAUGUUGUAGGCUUGGAUAUAUCAACUAGUGCUGUUGAGAAAGCAAAAGAGUUGUCUUCCUCAUUACCAAAUGCAAACCAGUUCACCUUCAUGGCAGCAGAUUUCUUCACUUGGCAGCCAACAGAGAAGUUUGAUCUUAUCUUUGAUUAUACAUUCUUUUGUGCAAUUGACCCAUGCUUGAGGCCAGCCUGGGCACAGAAAAUUCAAGAGAUUUUAAAACCAGACGGAGAGCUUAUAACACUGAUAUAUCUGAUCAGUGGCCAGGAAGGAGGACCGCCAUACAAUACAACUGUAGCUGACUAUGAGCAGGUACUGAAUCCUGUGGGUUUCAAAGCACUCUCAAUUGAAGACAAUGAGCUAGCAGUCAAGCCACGCAAGUUGCAGGCAAUGGUGACAUCAAGGCCUCUGGUGGUGGUUGAUGUUACUGUCUUCAUCCACACAAAUUACAUUUUUAGACCAUGUCCUAUUUAUGUUUAAAGGAUUGGAGUUCAGGUGGCUUCUCCUAAAAACUUGCUGAGAGAAAAUCACUAGGAAGCUCGAUAAAAUCCUUCAAACAUUCAUAAGGGGACAAAAGAAAAAGGUGGCAGAUGCCUAGGCAGUGGGGAAAUGAGAAGCUUGGGAGGUGGAAGCGGCUUUCAAACAAAUCGUUGUUAUAACAAGGCAUUAUUGGGAGACCUCAGUGCACAAUAACUGGACAUUGAUUGUUUUCCUCAUACCAUUCUUGGCACAACUGUUCCUGGUUUUAUUAGCCUAGUAUACACAAAAAAAAAAAAAAAUCAGGCACCAGAUUUAAAUGCGACAUUCCAGUAUUUAUGUAUGCGAAAGAUAAUCUUUAAGUUUCAAUUUCAUGUUGUGGAGCUUGUUAUCA